GCAACCAACCCCCCCCCCCCGGCCUCGCCAGGCGCCGCGCGGAGCCCUCGGAGCCCGGCCUGCCCCGGCCGCCACGAUGCAGCGCCAGAGCCUGACCCCGCACGUGCACUGGGCGCAGCGGCACCGCGAGCUCUACUUGCGCGUGGAGCUGAGCGACGUGCAGAGCCCCGAGAUCACCAUUAUGGACGACGUGCUUCAUUUCAAAGCCCAGGGUCAUGGUGCCAAGGGGGACAAUGUAUAUGAAUUUCAGCUUGCAUUUCUAGAACCAGUCAAGCCCCAACUGGAGUACAAAGUGACUCAGAGGCAGUUGAACAUCAGCGUGCAGAAAAAAGAAAGCAACUGGUGGAAAAGACUCACCAAACAGGAGAGGCGCCCGAUGUUCCUAGCCCCUGAUUUUGAUCGCUGGCUAGAUGAGUCGGAUGCUGAAAUGGAACUCAAAGCAAAGGAAGAAGAAGAAAGGAUUAACAAAAUCAGAAUUGAAUCCAGAGUCCCUAAAGACUCUUUCAGACAGCUGAAGAGAGGAUAUUUGUUCAUGUAUAAUCUUGUGCAGUUUUUGGGGUUCUCCUGGAUUUUUGUGAAUAUGACAGUUCGCCUGUUUAUCUUAGGAAAAGAUUCCUUCUACGAUACAUUUCACACCAUUGCUGACAUGAUGUACUUCUGUCAGACGCUCGCAUUUAUAGAGAUCCUGAAUUCACUAGUAGGAAUCGUCAGGUCACCAUUUAUACCUUCUUUUCUCCAGGUACUUGGAAGAAAUUUUGUCUUGUUUAUUGUCCUCGGAAAUGUGGAGGAAAUGCAAAGCAAAGCGGUGGUGUUCUUUGUAUUUUACUGCUGGAGUAUUACUGAGUUAUUCAGGUAUCCAUUCUACAUGCUUUCCUGCAUUGAUAUAGAAUGGAAAUUACUAACUUGGAUCCGAUAUACCAUCUGGAUUCCUCUCUAUCCUUUAGGCACCUUGGCAGAAGCUGUGUGUCUGAUUCAGGCCAUUCCAUUCUUCAGUGGAACAGGGAAGUUUAGUUUCACACUGCCAUAUCCGAUGAGCAUCACAAUCAAAUUUUCAUUCUUUCUUCAAAUCUACCUUAUCAUGUUAUUUUUAGUGGACCAAUGAUAAAAGCGUACUGUCGGCAGGUUGAGCCUACAUCUCUGGGGAUCCAAAAGUCUCAUUGAAGUCAGAGGAAUACAGAAUCCAGCCCAUGAUUUUUAAAUGAAAAUUUUGAACUCCAAACUUCAUUCCAUCUGAUGAAAAAAGACUUAAAUGACACCAACCCUGUUUCUGUGGUUUAGUCUGAUGUGGGCUGCUUAGGUUUGUUUAUAAACUUGCGUCACCUCUACAAGCAAAGGAGGCAGCACCUUGGAUCAAAAAAGAGAAAGAUGAAGUAAAGCAGGGACUACAAUGCUUCCCUGACUUAAAUCAAUGACAGGAGCCUCGGAGUCUUACAAUUUUAUCUAUUAUUAUAAUGGAAAGGAUUUUCUACAGCUAAAUGCUCAUGUUAGAUUUCAUAGUGAGUCUUCAGAUAGCAUUCCCAUACACUGUAUUGAGUUCCUCUUCAGUCAUACAUGCAUGGCACUUAAUGUUGAACAAUGGCAAUAGUUAAACAUGUUUCCUAUCAAUUACCAUAUUAUAAAAGGUUUCAGAGUAGCAGCCGUGUUAGUCUGUAUUCGCAAAAAGGAGGACUUGUAGCACCUUAGAGACUAACCAAUUUAUUUGAGCAUAAGCUUUCGUGAGCUACAGCUCACACUGAAUGCAUCUGAUGAAGUGAGCUGUAGCUUACAAAAGCAAAAGCUUAUGGUCAAAUAAAUUUGUUAGUCUCUUAAGGUGCCACAAGUCCUCCUUUUCUUUUUGCGUAUUAUAAAAAGAAAUCCUAUUCUUCGCAGAAACAUGAGCGGUUCUAACUGGGAAUAUAAUAGUUAUUCUUACUUGGAUAUUUGCUCUCUUUCAGAUAUUGAAUGCAGAUAGGGCUUGUGAUGCUGGGGUAUAAUAUUUCAGACCAUCCACUCCAUGCUAUGUGAAACUGACUAGGAAUGGCCUGAGGAACAGAGACCAAGAGCAGCAUGGAAAAUAUAUUUAUUAAUGGUCAGUGCUAGGUCUGCUUUUCUUCAGCAGGCUUUUGCUGAUACAUUUAAACCUGGGAGCAACUAGUGUCAGCAUUGGACACCACCAGCUUGUUCUUAACGUAUGUACAAUAGGAAGGCUUAAUCUCUCUCCCGCAUGGAAUAGAAACACGUAGUGGUAUCCCACAGCCUCUGUCUGGCUACGUAUGUCCUAGCCAGUCAUUAGAGGGAGCUACCCACUCCUUCAAAUUUCCCUCACCAGUUGACAUAGCUGCUACUUCCCAUGGCCUUGUGGUCACUAACUCUGCCCUUUCAGAUGGUGAGAAUUUAAAUGUCCAAACUCAGACACUAGAAAACCAGGCUGUGUAGGGUUGAGCUUCCAUUCCCUGCCAUUCUUCCCCCCAGUAGCACACAAAAAUUAGAAUUACACCAGGAAAUGCAGAGGUAAAGCAGGCCUCCCUUGAGAUGAUCCCAUAACGUUCCUUCUGCUACUAUAGGGAGGCCAGCCCCUUGUCCUCUCUGUUUUGGGAAUGGUGGUGUAAGUGCUUGGUUCAAACCCUGUUGAGAAGGCAGCAAGCACCUGUUUUCCUAUUCCUUCCAUAUUCCCUGAAUGCAGAGGACUGCAGCUAAGGAGUCUGCAAGCCAGGCUGGCAAUUUGCUUUUGGGGUGCAGUGUUGGGGGCCUAAUAAGUGAGGGACCGUUUUGGUAUUGGGUGCCGGUGUCAGCAAAUGGGAGGCAACUGAUAUGUUUCAGGUUUAUGCCUUAGGUGAAUUUUAAACAAUUAAAAUUACUUUUACAACAAAGAAACCCCCAUUGGUUAAAAAGGAGCCGUUCUGAAUAAAGGGUACCAUGAUUAAAAUGACCCGUGCUCCCAACCUGAUCUGCCAGGUCUUAGCCCCCUCUGACCUUUUGCAUCUUCCCUGAAAUUAACUAAAGUGUGAUUUAAAUAAACUUAAUUGUAACCUUGACUACAGAGCAGCUAGUUGCACUGUUGACCCAGCUGAGUCUAGUCGUCUUUCCCCCAGCACCCACUGUAAUCCUUGUGCAAGUUAAUUCCAGAGCAAUCACUAAACUUUAAGAUCAAUUUAUUGCCAUCCCGCUGAUUGUAUGGUUUUGUUUUACGAAAGCAUAACACCAGGAAAAAACCAACAAAAACACCCACUAUACAGGAAAGUAGGUACUUUUCAUUCUCCAUCCCUAACGCAUCAAACAUGUUGCCGUAUUUUCGAUGUGAAAUAUCUUUUCCCCCAAAGAUUGUAAUUGUGAGGUUAACACUAGAACAUUUAGGUGGGGUUUUUGCAGAGAAGUGGUCCCAACCGCCACUGAAGGCAUUCUGCAAAAAGGCACCAUCCUAAGGAACUUUCACCACUAUUGAAGGGCAGGUCUUCCAGCACAGCUCACUGCUGUAGCACUUAAGUGAAGUCAUACCUAGGCCAACGGGUGCCCAUCUCCACAAGAGGUGGUAGCUGUGUUGACAGGAGAUGCUCUCUCACAGACAUAGCAUUGUCUACACACUAACCCCGGUCAGUAUAACUGCAUGUCGCUCAGGGAUGUGAUUUCACCCCCGAGUAACGUCGUAAUACCAAUAUAGGUCUGUAGUGUAGACCUGGCCUAAAAGUGUUAGAAGGAGCCUUUCUGCAUGAAAGGCUAAAAAAGGGCAUGGCCAGCUUCCUCAGGGUAGUUACACCAUAAUUUGUAUACUGUGUCACUUCUACAUACACAUCUAUUUGACAGUGAAUCAAGGGAUUGAAUAUCUUGGUGCCGACACUGAGAAUUUAACACCGCAUUCAUUCUUUUAAUUCCUUUAAAGGGCAUUUAAACAUUUAUGAAAUACAUGGUGGUGAGGGUAUGGGGCAGGCACUGCAAUCCCUAUUUAGUGUGAUUUGCCGUGGAUCUUCAACUACUGAGUUUGGUUGUCCUUCCAAAGGCAGCUGAAUGUGUAUUUCUAUUAAUAAAGAUUUACAAGCAAAGUC